UCAUUCAGUCUUACCUCUCAUGCCUUGUCUUUCCCUGUUUUCUACAGCUUACCUUUCAUUCCAUGAGCAAUACCAGCAGAGCAGGUACAAAUACAGACAUCCCUGGUGUUUCCUGCACUACCAUAGAGAACCCGCUUUUUUUCUAGACCACUUUGACAAUUCUGUCAACCAUGUCUUGGUGAAAUAAAGAGAGCACACACUGGCCUGGGGUUGUGGCUCAGUGGUAAAGUACUCACCUAGCAUGUGUGAAGCACUGGAUUUGAUCCUCGGCACCACCUUAAAAUGAAGG
rnacentral:lncRNA from 1 species